GAUGAACGCUGGCGGCGUGCCUAAUACAUGCAAGUCGAGCGAACAGAUGAGGAGCUUGCUCCUCUGACGUUAGCGGCGGACGGGUGAGUAACACGUGGAUAACCUACCUAUAAGACUGGGAUACCUUCGGGAAACCGGAUCUAGUACCGGAUAAGAUAUUGAACCGCAUGGUUCAUUAGUGAAAGACGGUUUUGCUGUCACUUAUAGAUGGUUCCGCGCCGCAUUAGCUAGUUGGUAAGGUAACGGCUUACCAAGGCAACGAUGCGUAGCCGACCUGAGAGGGUGAUCGGCCACACUGGAACUGAGACACGGUCCAGACUCCUACGGGAGGCAGCAGUAGGGAAUCUUGCGCAAUGGGCGAAAGCCUGACGGAGCAACGCCGCGUGAGUGAUGAAGGUCUUCGGAUCGUAAAGCUCUGUUAGUAGGGAAGAACAAAUGUGUAAGUAACUAUGGCCGUCUUGACGGUACCUAAAGAGAAAGCCACGGCUAACUACGUG
rnacentral:rRNA from 1 species